rnacentral:rRNA from 1 species
UGUACAACUUUGAGCGGUGGAUCACUCGGCUCGUGUGUCGAUGAAGAGUGCAGCCCAACUGUGUGAAUUAAUGUGAACUGCAUACUGCUUUGAACAUCGAACCUCUUGACGCAUAUUGCGGCCACGGGAUAUCCUGUGGCCACGCCUGGCCGAGGGUGGGUU